AGAGAGAGAGCUGUGAUCUCAUCCGGCGAACUUCCGGCAAUCCUCCGGUGAACGUCCAAUGAUGAGUUUGUGGACUCAACAACAUAGAUUUCUUGUCCUGAUUUUGUCAACCUUCCAUGAUCAUUUUAGGGAGUGGUCUUGGAUCUCAUUUUUGCACUUAGGAAAUACCAGAUCAUGAGUGAUAGACCGGCGUGGAUCUCGACAGUUUGUCUGUAGAUGUUGUCUUAUCCUGUUGUAAAUUUUGAGUUCUUGUUAUUGUCUAUCCAUGUAUUCCCGUAUUUUGUAUUUUUAAACUUCUAUAUCCCGAUAUUGUGUACUUUGUAGAGUUUGUAAUCCUGUAACUCAGUUGGGUUGUUAUAGAUUCGUCUGCUUUGUAUCAGAUUCUGAGGCCUUGCAGGCCUAUGGGGCUCACACCUUGUGGAUUUGCGGCCGUUUGUCUGCGC